CCUACGGGAGGCAUCAGUGAGGAAUAUUGGUCAAUGGGCUUACGCCUGAACCAGCCAAGUCGCGUGAGGGAAGACUGCCCUAUGGGUUGUAAACCUCUUUUGUCAGGGAGCAAUUGGCGCUACGUGUAGCGUUAUCGAGAGUACCUGAAGAAAAAGCAUCGGCUAACUCCGUGCCAGCAGCCGCGGUAAUACGGAGGAUGCGAGCGUUAUCCGGAUUUAUUGGGUUUAAAGGGUGCGUAGGCGGAAUGCCAAGUCAGCGGUAAAAUCGCGGGGCUCAACCUCGCUCCGCCGUUGAAACUGGCGGUCUUGAGUGGGCGAGAAGUAUGCGGAAUGCGUGGUGUAGCGGUGAAAUGCAUAGAUAUCACGCAGAACUCCGAUUGCGAAGGCAGCAUACCGGCGCCCAACUGACGCUGAAGCACGAAAGCGUGGGUAUCGAACAGGAUUAGAUACCCGUGUAGUC
rnacentral:rRNA from 1 species